rnacentral:ncRNA from 1 species
GAAGCUUUAUUGAAGAUGAAGGAAGGUCCUUCGAAAUCGGUUUUCAGGAGCAGGUUUCAAACCACCUUAAGUGGCUCUAUUUAAGAGAUAGGGUCAUAAGCGUUAAGGAAAAAUCAGCGUAAGAGCUGGAAGGUGAGGAUCAGAAAGGCGAACGUAAGUGAACCACUGAUGAACGUGUCGAAAUGGGAAGUGAACAUCGAAAGGGGGAGUGAGUCGUUCUCCUCUUAAUGAGCUUACAAGAAACCUGAUUACUGUGUAGGUGGUGUUCGGCAUAAAGGUAGCGCGAGUCUGAUCUGGGCUUUAAUAAGGAACUGCAGGAACCAGUCGAUUUGAUGAAAAGCGAGAUAAGCAAGAGGCUAAUCCUCAAGCUUUAGAGUAGCGAUGCAAAUCACUGGGGCGCGUAGUAGUGAAGAAGUGGUUGUAAUGACCAUGGAGCAAAGGGGUUGAACUAGUUGAUUUUAGUAAAUCAUUCAACUUGAAGGAGGAUGAAAAUGAUUGAAAGAACAAAGCCUUUUAACAUACCAAAAUCUCUAGUGUUUUUGGCUUAUAAAAGAGUUAAAGAAAACAGAGGAGGAGCAGGUAUUGAUAAUUGAAAAGUUUGAUCAAGACUUAAGCAAGAACCUUUACAAGCUAUGGAAUAGGCUAUCAUCCGGUAGUUAUUUUCCACCUGCAGUGAAGGCUUGUGAUAUAACUAAGGCAGAUGGAGGGACAAGGACACUUGGAAUACCAACUGUCUCGGAUCGUAUAGCACAGGAAGUUGUAAGAAGUGUUUUAGAACCAGAACUUGAGAAGGCAUUUGAUGAAGAUUCAUAUGGUUAUAGGCCAAAUAAAUCAGCAUUAGAUGCCAUAGGACAAACCAGGAAGCGAUACCAAAAUUGGUUAAUAGAGUUUGACAUCAAGGGAAUGUUUGACAACAUAGACCACAAUCUACUGAUGAAAGCAGUCAGAAGACACACUACAAACAAAUGGGUUAUCUUAUACAUACAAAGAUGGCUAAGUGCAGAUAUGCAACUUGAAGAUGGAACAAAGAUAAAGCGUCUCGGCGGAGUGCCGCAGGGAGGUGUAAUUACCCCG